GGGNAGCACCACAACAGGUGGAGCCUGCGGUUUAAUUGGACUCAACGCCGGGAAGCUCACCGGAUAAGACAGCAGAAUGAUUGCCGGGCUGAAGACUCUGCAUGACUAGCUGAGAGGAGGUGCNUGGCCGUCGUCAGNUCANACUGUGAAGCAUCCUGUUAAGUCAGGCAACGAGCAAGACCCACGCCAACAGUUGCCAGCAUGGUCUCCGGACUGAUGGGGACACUGUUGGGACCGCCUCUGCUAAAGAGGAGGAAGGAAUGGGCAACGGUAGGUCAGCAUGCCCCGAAUUAUCCGGGCUACACGCGGGCUACAAUGGGCAGGACAAUGGGCAUCGACACCGAAAGGUGAAGGCAAUCUCCUAAACCUGUCCUUAGUUCGGAUUGUGGGCUGCAACUCGCCCACAUGAAGCUGGAAUCUGUAGUAAUCGCGUUUCAAAAUAACGCGGUGAAUUUGUCCCUGCUCCUUGCACACACCGCCCGUCAAACCACCCGAGUGGGGUUUGGAUGAGGUUGCGGUUGUUGCCGCAGUCGAAUCUAGGUUCCGCAAGGGGGGU
rnacentral:rRNA from 1 species